rnacentral:rRNA from 1 species
UACGUAGGCAGCAAGCGUUGUUCGGAGUUACUGGGCGUAAAGAGUGCGUAGGUGGUGCCCUAAGUCUGUUGUGAAAUCUCCCGGCUUAACUGGGAGGGUGCGGUGGAAACUGGGGUGCUUGAGUGUGGGAGAGGUAAGCGGAAUUCCUGGUGUAGCGGUGAAAUGCGUAGAGAUCAGGAAGAACACCGGUGGCGAAAGCGCUCUGCUAGGCCGCAACUGACACUGAGGGACGAAAGCUAGGGGAGCGAAUGGG